ACGGUUACAAAGUAACCGUUGUCGGUAGUUUGCCAGCCAUGCGGGCAGCUAACAAUAGAAAACUGAAACAAAUUAAAAAGGAAACUUACAAUGGAGGAGUGGCUUCAGCAGCUGGAAAACAUAAACUUCGACCUAAGGGAAGGCCUUACUAAGGAGGAUUGGCUUCAGCAGCUAUCCCAGGAAAACAUGCAGAGCUGAAGCUUACGAGAGCUCAAAGCACAUGGGAGCUAACAAGGAGCACCAACAGUGCGUGGUGGUAGUGAUGAUGCAAAGAAAUGAAACAAUGGACUAACUAAGGCAGUGAUGACAAAGACGGCUGGCAAGCAAACUUGCAGUUCUACCAUGCAACAUUAAAGAUAUAUUUUUUUUAAAUCAACUUUGCAUAUCUUUUAUAAUAAUGUGU